UGGGGAAUCUUGGACAAUGGGCGAAAGCCUGAUCCAGCCAUGCCGCGUGAGUGAAGAAGGCCUUAGGGUUGUAAAGCUCUUUCAGACGGGAAGAUAAUGACGGUACCGUCAGAAGAAGCACCGGCUAACUUCGUGCCAGCAGCCGCGGUAAUACGAAGGGUGCUAGCGUUGUUCGGAAUCACUGGGCGUAAAGCGCGCGUAGGCGGACUAUCAAGCCAGAGGUGAAAGCCCGGGGCUCAACCCCGGAAUUGCCUUUGGAACUGGUAGUCUAGAGUACGAUAGGGGGUGGUGGAAUUCCUAGUGUAGAGGUGAAAUUCGUAGAUAUUAGGAGGAACACCAGAGGCGAAGGCGACCACCUGGAUCGAUACUGACGCUGAGGUGCGAAAGCGUGGGGAGCAAACAGGAUUAGAUACCCCCGUAGUCC
rnacentral:rRNA from 1 species